rnacentral:rRNA from 1 species
UACGUAGGGUGCGAGCGUUAAUCGGAAUUACUGGGCGUAAAGCGUGCGCAGGCGGUUUUGUAAGCCAGAUGUGAAAGCCCCGGGCUCAACCUGGGAACUGCAUUUGUGACUGCAUCGCUGGAGUGCGGCAGAGGGGGAUGGAAUUCCGCGUGUAGCAGUGAAAUGCGUAGAUAUCUGGAGGAACACCGGUGGCGAAGGCGGCAUCCUGGACCAACACUGACGCUGAUGAGCGAAAGCCAGGGGAGCAAACGGG